CACGUAGGGCGCAAGCGUUGUCCGGAAUUAUUGGGCGUAAAGAGCUCGUAGGCGGUCUGUUGCGUCUGCUGUGAGAACUCGGGGCUUAACCCCGAGCCUGCAGUGGAUACGGGCAGACUAGAGGUAGGUAGGGGAGAAUGGAAUUCCCGGUGUAGCGGUGAAAUGCGCAGAUAUCGGGAGGAACACCGGUGGCGAAGGCGGUUCUCUGGGCCUUACCUGACGCUGAGGAGCGAAAGCGUGGGGAGCGAACAGG
rnacentral:rRNA from 1 species